rnacentral:misc_RNA from 1 species
GAAAUGCGAUAAGUAAUGUGAAUUGCAGAAUUCAGUGAAUCAUCGAAUCUUUGAACGCAUCUUGCGCUCCUUGGUAUUCCUUGGAGCAUGCCUGUUUGAGUAUCAUGAAAUCUUCAAAGUAAAUCUUUUGUUAACUCAAUUGGUUUCUACUUUGGUAUUGGAGGUCUUUGCAGCUUCACACCUGCUCCUCUUUGUUUAUUAGCUGGAUCUCAGUGUUAUGCUUGGUUCCACUCGGCGUGAUAAGUUAUCUAUCGCUGAGGACACUGUAAAAGGUGGCCAAGGUAAAUGCAGAUGAACCGCUUCUAAUAGUCCAUUGACUUGGACAAUACUUUUAUGAUCUGAUCUCAAAUCAGGUAGGACUACCCGCUGAACUUAAGC